CUUUCCUUGCUAUUUUGUGAUUCAAAAUUGUGUGAGGAGGGAAGACUGAAAAGAGGAGAGGCUCUUUUGUCUAUGGGGCAGGAGUUUUAAGUUAAUAUGGAAUUCGGUGGAGAAAGGGAAUCUACAUCUGUGGAGAGCGUUUGUAUGAGUAAUCCGGUAAUCUCCCAGUGAUGAGUAGAGCAUGUACUCGCCACUAAUGCUGGGUGCGAUUAGAUGCAACUGCCUCAGCCUCAGGUGCCCAGCAGGAAGCCGUAAUUGACCACACGGAUCUGAGUGGGUCAGCACAGUCACUUACAGGCUGGUCACCUUUCCUGUCCAUCUUCCUCAUGGAACCUGCUGCACUGAUUUACGGCUCAGCUCUUCUCUGACCAAUGACUGAUACACUGGACUGGACAUUCCUAUGUCCAAUUCUGUUCCUAACCCAGAUGAUUGCUGAGGAAAACAAUGAUGGAAUCUUUUCAGAAAUACGCACUGAUCUGUAGGAAGACAGUCUUGGAAGCAAUUUGUUCAAGAACAGAGAUUGUGGUCUGUGCAGAAAAAUAUACCAAGACCUCUUUCCAGGGUAAAUUAGGAGGAUAUGUGGGUCUAAUCCUGCACAUCUAAUGGAUAAAAAGCUUUCUUUUACUUCAGGGCCUGAGGCUGUUUACAAAUAAACACAGACCAAGGUGAUAUUCUGCCCAAGAUAGCACUAUAAGGGGAACUACAGAGUCUUUUGGUUAAUGAC